AAAUUAUAAUAUUAAGUUAUAUUAUAUAUUAUUUAAUAAGAUUAUUAUUAUUAUAAUAUAUAAUAUAGUUUUUUCUGUGAGUUUGAUCCUGGCUCAGGACGAACGCUGGCGGCGUGCCUAAUACAUGCAAGUCGAGCGGACUUUCAAGAAGCUUGCUUUUUGAAAGUUAGCGGCGGACGGGUGAGUAACACGUGGGCAACCUGCCUGCAAGACGGGGAUAACUCCGGGAAACCGGGGCUAAUACCGGAUAAUAUCUUCCUUCGCAUGAAGGAAGGUUGAAAGGCGGCGCAAGCUGCCGCUUGCAGAUGGGCCCGCGUCGCAUUAGCUAGUUGGUGAGGUAACGGCUCACCUAGGCGACGAUGCGUAGCCUACCUGAGAGGGUGAUCGGCCACAGUGGGACUGAUUACACGGCCCCGACUCCUAGGGGAGGCAGCAGUAUGGAAUCUUCCGCUAUGAGACGACAGUCUGACGGAUCAACGCCGCGUGAUUCGAAGAAGGUCUUCGGAUCGUAAAGCUCUGUUGCUCAGGGAAGAACAAGUGUCCGUUCGAACAGGGCGGUACCUUGACGGUACCUGACCAGAAAGCCACGGCUAACUACGUGCCAGCAGCCGCGGUAAUACGUAGGUGGCAAGCGUUGUCCGGAAUUAUUGGGCGUAAAGCGCGCGCAGGCGGUCUCUUAAGUCUGAUGUGAAAGCCCACGGCUCAACCGUGGAGGGUCAUUGGAAACUGGGAGACUUGAGUGCAGAAGAGGAGAGCGGAAUUCCACGUGUAGCGGUGAAAUGCGUAGAGAUGUGGAGGAACACCAGUGGCGAAGGCGGCUCUCUGGUCUGUAACUGACGCUGAGGCGCGAAAGCGUGGGGAGCGAACAGGAUUAGAUACCCUGGUAGUCCACGCCGUAAACGAUGAGUGCUAAGUGUUAGAGGGCUUCCACCCUUUAGUGCUGCAGCUAACGCAUUAAGCACUCCGCCUGGGGAUACGCCCCCGU
rnacentral:rRNA from 1 species